AUGGUUAUAAUAGGAGGAGAUGCGGAUGGCAAUGAAGAAGAUCGUUCUGGAAGUCAGUCGCUUCGCUGGAACUCGAAGCGUCCUGCUAAUCGCCAGCCACGAUCUGCACGGAGUGUUGAGCAGGGAGAGGAUGUUGAGGAUGCUGAUGAGUUCCGUGUUGUAAAGCGGACUAGACGUGCAACACUUGGAAAGGGAGCUGAGUCAUCUUCAAGGGCAGCAGUUGCUGGAGGAGCUGUCGCAUCUUCCGCAGCAGAUGCUGAGGCCAACGGUGAAGGAGUUGAGGUGGCUGCAGGGGAAGAUGUGGAGCGACCAUCACAAGCGGGCAGGAUAAGGGCAUCACCAGCGCGGUUUGCAAAUUUCAAUGCCUCUCUAACCCCACUACAGAAGUCAGAGCUAGUUUCGAGGUUGUUCGGGGGGCUAUUGAACUUAUCAGACACACUUCCAGCGGACCUCAGUAAGUUCCUGGUGCAGUCCUACCAGCCACAGACCUCUGAAAUGGUUUUCCCAGGAAGGGGAAGGAUCCGUGUCGAUGCUGACAGUGUUCAGAGGGUAUUUGAUCUCCCAAACAGGGGUCAAAAAGUCAGGUAUUUAGUUGACAAGGAUGCCACUAGGAGAUUCAGACAGGCUUUCAACAUAACUGGAAAUUCUCAUCCCCAGAUCACUACAUGGCUCAAGAUGAUUCAGGAUAUGGCUGGAAGAACGGAUGACACAUUCUUUAUGGCCUGGCUUGCGAUACUAUACCUUGAUGCUCUCGUACAUGACAUCCCAGUAAGCAACUGCGCGAUACGAUCGAAUGCAUGGGAUAGUACUCUAAUUGCCAAGGUGAUCAAGAAGGAUACUAUCUCUCCUGGUGUGAUCAAGAAGGAUACUCUUAAAGAGGAGUAUAGAGGCACGGAGCAGACACCACUGUUUGAUGGAAUUUUACAAGCUGAAGCAUUCGUGGCAUCCAAGUUACCAAUAACCUACAAUCCGCAGGCAAAGAUUGCGAAAGUGGUCAAUGACCUGUGCAAGGCUGUAACUGAACAGGUUGGCACCUUCAUUGAAGCAGUUGCCAAGAUCGAUGACGAGGAACCGGAUAUUGAUCCUUACGAGAUGCCAUGGUCCUUGAACCCAUACGAAGAUCAAAGUCUUAUCAUGGUGACGGGUUCUAUGAUGCACCAUCUUUUGACCUCGGCAUAG
rnacentral:rRNA from 1 species